rnacentral:rRNA from 1 species
UACAGAGGUCCCAAGCGUUUGUUCGGAUUCAUUGGGCGUAAAGGGUGCGCAGGUGGCGUCGUAAGUCGGGUGUGAAAUUUCGGAGCUCAACUCCGAAACUGCAUUCGAUACUGCGGUGCUUGAGGACUGGGGAGGAGACUGGAAUUUACGGGUGUAGCAGUGAAAUGCGUAGAGAUCGUAAGGAAGACCAGUGGCGAAGGCGGGUCUCUGGACAGUUCCUGACACUGAGGCACGAAGGCCAGGGGAGCAAACGGGG